rnacentral:rRNA from 1 species
AACGAACGCUGGCGGCAUGCCUAACACAUGCAAGUCGAACGAGACCUUCGGGUCUAGUGGCGCACGGGUGCGUAACGCGUGGGAACCUGCCCUUAGGUUCGGAAUAACUCCCCGAAAGGGGUGCUAAUACCGGAUAAUGUCUUCGGACCAAAGAUUUAUCGCCUUUGGAUGGGCCCGCGUUGGAUUAGCUAGUUGGUAGGGUAAAAGCCUACCAAGGCGACGAUCCAUAGCUGGUCCGAGAGGAUGAUCAGCCACACUGGGACUGAGACACGGUCCAGACUCCUACGGGAGGCAGCAGUGGGGAAUAUUGGACAAUGGGCGAAAGCCUGAUCCAGCAAUGCCGCGUGAGUGAUGAAGGCCUUAGGGUUGUAAAGCUCUUUUACCCGGGAUGAUAAUGACAGUACCGGGAGAAUAAGCUCCGGCUAACUCCGUG